rnacentral:rRNA from 1 species
CGUCUAGGCGGAUUGGUAAGUCAGGUGUGAAACCCCUCGGCUCAACCGGGGAUCUGCACUUGAUACUGCCAAUCUUGAGUAUGGAAGAGGAAAGCGGAAUUCCAGGUGUAGCGGUGAAAUGCGUAGAUAUCUGGAAGAACACCGGUGGCGAAGGCGGCUUUCUGGUCCAAUACUGACGCUAAAGCGCGAAAGUGUGGGGAGCAAACAG